GAUGAACGCUAGCGGCAGGCCUAAUACAUGCAAGUCGGACGGGAUUCAGGAGCUUGCUUCUGAUGAGAGUGGCGCACGGGUGCGUAACACGUAUGUAACCUACCUUUAUCGGGGGGAUAGCCUCUCGAAAGAGAGAUUAAGCCCGCAUAAAAUCACAGCACAGCAUUGUGUAAUGAUCAAAUAUUUAUAGGAUAAAGAUGGGCAUGCGGAACAUUAGCUAGAUGGCGGGGUAACGGCCCACCAUGGCGACGAUGUUUAGGGGAUCUGAGAGGAUGGCCCCCCACACUGGUACUGAGACACGGACCAGACUCCUACGGGAGGCAGCAGUAAGGAAUAUUGGUCAAUGGGCGGAAGCCUGAACCAGCCAUGCCGCGUGCAGGAAGACGGCCCUACGGGUUGUAAACUGCUUUUAUACGGGAAUAAACCCAGAUACGUGUAUCUGGCUGAAUGUACUGUAAGAAUAAGGAUCGGCUAACUCCGUG
rnacentral:rRNA from 1 species